rnacentral:rRNA from 1 species
UAAGGAAUAUUGGACAAUGGUCGCAAGACUGAUCCAGCCAUGCCGCGUGCAGGAAGACGGCCCUAUGGGUUGUAAACUGCUUUUGUACCAGAGAAAACCUAUCUACGUGUAGAUAGCUGAUAGUAUGGUAAGAAUAAGCAUCGGCUAACUUCGUGCCAGCAGCCGCGGUAAGACGAAGGAUGCAAGCGUUAUCCGGAUUCAUUGGGUUUAAAGGGUGCGUAGGCGGGCUUGUAAGUCAGUGGUGAAAUCUCUCAGCUUAACUGAGAAACUGCCAUUGAUACUGCAGUCCUAGAGUAUAGAUGACGUUGGCGGAAUAUGACAUGUAGUGGUGAAAUACUUAGAUAUGUCAUAGAACACCGAUUGCGAAGGCAGCUAACGAAACUAUAACUGACGCUGAGGCACGAAAGUGCGGGGAUCAAACA